rnacentral:lncRNA from 1 species
CAUUUGAAUCAGCAUUGAACCCAACAGCAACUGUUCCCUUAACGAUCUUGACUCCUUUGUUAGCAUAAUAACCCUCAUAGAAGGCAGCUAUACCAGCAGUAAAAAGGCGAGGCACUGCACGGACAUUGUCUAUGUUAGGAUUUUGGAGAAACUACUGUAAGAUAUCUGGCAAGUGAGAUGGACUUUCAUUUAUUUUUAACAAAUAUUAAAAAAGUAAUCCACUUACUGCACCAUGGUUCGGGAUAAACCAUUGUAACAUCAAUAUUGUUGAUUCUUAAAGCUGCACUAAGUUCAAGACCAAUGUAUCCUCCUCCAACAAUUACAGCCUUUCCAUUCUUCUUUCCUUUAAUUGCUUCUACAAGUUUGUCAGCAUCAUCAAUUUCUCUCAAGUAGAGAAUGUUUUUGGCAUCAGCUCCUUGGACACCAAA